CAUGAAGCUGGAAUCGCUAGUAAUCGCGGAUCAGAAUGCCGCGGUGAAUACGUUCCCGGGUCUUGUACACACCGCCCGUCACACCAUGGGAGUCGGAAAUGCCCGAAGUCUGUGACCCAACCAUUAAGGAGGGGGCAGCCGAAGGCAGGUCGGAUGACUGGGGUGAAGUCGUAACAAGGUAGC
rnacentral:rRNA from 1 species